rnacentral:rRNA from 1 species
GGGGAAUAUUGCACAAUGGAGGAAACUCUGAUGCAGCGACGCCGCGUGAGUGAAGAAGGUCUUCGGAUCGUAAAACUCUGUCCUUGGUGACGAAAAAAUGACGGUAGCCAAGGAGGAAGCCCCGGCUAACUACGUGCCAGCAGCCGCGGUAAUACGUAGGGGGCGAGCGUUGUCCGGAUUUACUGGGCGUAAAGGGUGAGUAGGCGGUAAUAUGUGUCAGAUGUAAAAGGCUAUGGCUUAACCAUAGUUGGCAUUUGAAACUGUAUUACUUGAGUGCAGGAGAGGUAAGUGGAAUUCCUAGUGUAGCGGUGAAAUGCGUAGAUAUUAGGAGGAACACCAGUGGCGAAGGCGACUUACUGGACUGUAACUGACGCUGAGUCACGAAAGCGUGGGUAGCAAACA